rnacentral:rRNA from 1 species
CCUACGGGGGGCAGCAGUGGGGAAUAUUGGGCAAUGGGCGCAAGCCUUACCCAGCAAUACCGCGUGAGUGAAGAAGGUCUUCGGAUUGUAAAGCUCUUUGAACAGGGACGAACAGAUGACGGUACCUGAAGAACAAGCCCCGGCUAAAUACGUGCCAGCAGCCGCGGUCAAACGUACGGGGCGAGUGUUGUCCGGAAUGACUGGGCGUAAAGGGUGCGUAGGCGGGAUAAUAAGUUAGAAGUGAAAUACCCAGGGCUUAACUCGGGUGCUGCUUCUAAGACUGUUGAGCUUGAGUGGGGGAGAGGUUAAUGGAAUUCCUAGUGUAGCGGUGGAAUGCGUAGAUAUUAGGAGGAACACCAGAGGCGAAGGCGAUUAACUGGACCGUAACUGACGCUGAGGCACGAAAGUGUGGGUAGCAAACAGGAUUAGAUACCCCUGUAGUC